rnacentral:ribozyme from 1 species
GUGAAAAUGUUUUAAAACGAAACGAAAGGAAAAAAACGAAACGAAAAACAUGAGAGAGACGAACAUACGGGGAAGACUUCCAUGUACAUCCUUCUUCUCUCUCUCUUUUGUUUUUGUUUAUGUUUUUUGUUUUUUUCCUU